GCUGGCAGGGCAAGGCAAUAGGAUUCCUCUGGGACCACCUCCAGUGAGGACCAGGCACUGGCUGCCCGCAGCACAGUGCCACAGAAACAGUGUGAAGGAGCUGCCCUGUGGGGACCCAAUUAAUUUCCUUCCUGUUAAUUGUUGCCAGACAUGAAGCUGCUUUGAAGCACCGCAGAGGCUGGUAUCACAGUGGGGCAGCCCUUUGGCAGCUGCGAACACAGCUCCAUGUGGAUGUCCUGCCCUUGCUCCCACAGGGAUUAGCAGUGGAGCAGUUGCUUGACUCCUGUAGGAGCAGAGCGGAGCUGUAACUCUUUUCCUACAAGCCUCAAGCCACUUGGCUGCAUUUGUCAGCUCUGUAGGCAUGUGUCUCAGAAGGAUGUCACUGUAAACGGAGGAUACAUACACUUUUCAGUGGAAGGAGCGUGUUGCAGGCAUCUCCCAAUGCUGCCAGCAGCAGGACAAGGCCUGUGGGGAGCUCUGUGUUAGCUUCUCCACCUUUGGUAUUUCCCACCAGCAGGGAUUGCAGGGCAGCUCCUUCUCUGGCUCCUCAGUGCACUGGAGUUACCCUGAGUGCUGAUGGCAUGACUUCAGGUGGGCCGGUGUGAAAAGGCUCGUCGAGGCAGCUGCAAAACAGCUGCACUUCAGUGGCUUUCCUGCUCACUGAAACGGAGCCUAAUAUAAAACGCAGUGAUGGAUCAAACACAGCGUGGCAUCAGCCUGCACCCUGAGUCAGCGUGAGUCACAGACCGUGUCCCACCACGCUCCGUGCGCAGGAGGAGAAAGUCCUAUUUGAAUUCAGAGUUACUGCCAAACGCUUAGGGAAGGGCUGGCAGGGGAAAGGUGGGCUGCUGCAUACAGGAGCCGUGAGGAGAGGGCAGCAGGGCACAAAUGAGCCAUCCCUUUUGCAGGGGUGGAAGGGAUCCAGGUGUCUGACUUGCGUGUUUAAUGGUUCAUACACACCGGUGUUGUAAUGAACCACCAGCCAGAUGCUUUCCUAGGUAAUCAUCAUGGGGGAAUUGCAGCAGGAACGUGAGGGUUUGGGGUGGGCAUUCGGUACAGAGCUGGUCAACACCCAGCAUCCUUCCAGGCUUCCCUGGUUUCACUCCUGUGUUUCCAGUGGGGCUGGCAGCAAGCAUCAGCCUGGAGACCAUCACAAGAUAAACCAGAAAAGCCACACAAAGCAGCAAUGAGGCAGUUGUGAAGGCUGCCUGUGAGUGUGCAGGCAGCUCAGACCUUCCUGCAUGCAUGUGGCACAGAGCUGUCACUCAGCCGAGGAUGCAGGCGACUGCAGGGAGCAGCAAACCACAUCUCACCCCUACAUGGUUGCAGCUGCUGUAUUAUGGAUCUGAGGUCCCUCCAGGAACUAUAAUAAUGAGGGGAGUUAGUGUGUUACAAAUUAAAACUCCCAAAGGCUAUUCUCUGCAGAAUUCUUUCAACCCUGAUCUGAAGUGGCUAAGGUACAAAGAGAGGCUGGUUUGGGGAAGGAUGCUGUGGCUCCGAGGGCUGGUUUCAGCCCUGCCAAGAGGAGAGGCUGGUUUGAAGGUCACCCAUAGCCAAGCUGCGCCGUGGUGGGAAGGCUGACAGGGCUCAGCUCAGAGGGAAAGCCCCUGCAGACCGCUCUGUUCACACUGUAUUUGCACAAGACUCCCCUCUGCCCUUUGCUGAGCAAGGCUGGAUUCGUCCUCUCCCACUGGCUCGUGGUAGGGUUUUCCAGCACACACCACUCCUUUGCUCUGGUCUGGGGUCUUGGAAUAGGCUCAUAUGCUCUCCAACAUGCCCUCCAUCAUCCCAGCAUGAGACCCAAAGGUUUCUGCUUCCCUAACUUCUCCCUUAUUAAUGGCUUUGGACAGAUCACUCCCCUGCGACACACAUGCCUCUGCUGGCAUGAAUCUCUUCCUUGCCGCUACCUCCGGUCCUCCCCUGGCUCUUUGUGCCCUCUCUGGUAUUUGCAGAGUCACCGAAUUUACAGUAGUGGGAACUCGGAGUGCUCUGUGCUCCCUCCAGACCAUCACGCGGGUGUGUUACCACACUGUCCCCUCUGAGCCGGUUCCUUGUUGCCUGCUGUUCUCUUACCCAUGCUAGUUUAACUUGCUGUCUGGAUUCCUGUCCCCCAGCUGAGAAUCAUCACUUCCCAUUCCUGAUGCAGCUCAGGGGAUGCAAAACUCUCCAGCCAGCACACACGUCCUGAGGCAGCAUCUUUGUCUUUUGAGAAAGAAUACAGCUUUUUAUUCUGAAAACAAUAUAAAUCACUCCACUGAUACGUACUUGCUAUUUCCUUUGUUAUUUCCUCAGUACAUGUCCUCUCCUUUGUAAACUACAAUGCCGUGAACCUUGUGCAGCUCCUCUGUGCAAACCCACUUUGCUUUGUGCCGACUGAAUACAGACCCAGGAGAGAAAGACUUCCCUGCCUGUUAGGGCCCGUGCCAGGAAGCUCCUGUUGGAUCAGCUGCUGCCAACACACCCGGACCAGGAGAAGCCAACCCCCCUGGGUGUAAUUAGCAACAUGCUGCACAGCUGAAGGGCCAGCUCAGAUGACUGCGCUCCAAACUGCUGCUCACAGGUCACAUCCCUUCCUUCAAAAGGAGAUGGCCCUGGCAAGGACGCAGGGAAGGAUCCGAUGUACCCACAUGUGGCUGCCCUACUGCAUAGUAGGAGGUUUGGAGGGAGCCCCAUGUCCUGUCUGUGGGCCAGCAUCCAGAUCCAGGAGCUGCCUGAGGUGCCAAGAGUGAUGCCCUGAAGGGUCCCUGCUGGUGGCUUCUUUCCAGUUCCAAAAUUCCAUCAGAAAUCCAUUACCCAAUGCAUAAAAAUCCAUGGAUUUGUAAUAGAAAGAGCCUCCUAAAGCUCAGAAAAUACAGCCUGGAUGUCUCCAUAAAUCCUGAUGCAUGUGAUUAAAAAGCCUGAUGGAGGGAGCAUGCCUCAGUUCUUCACAGGGUCAUUCUGGACACAUGGUGUGUUCUGCAGAAUUGCCAUCAAUUAAAGGUGUGCUGACCCCAGCAGGGUUUUCAUCCCUGCUUGAACAGGAGCUGCUGUGUGCACAAGAGCAGGUAAUGCACCCCCCCCAUGUGGAAUACCCUGUGUGCUUCUGGA